GGAUAACGUUUGGAAACGAACGCUAAUACCGCAUGAUAUUAUUGAGCUGCAUGGCUUGAUAAUCAAAGGAGCAAUCCGCUGAAAGAUGGGCUCGCGUCCGAUUAGGUAGUUGGCGGGGCAACGGCCCACCAAGCCGACGAUCGGUAGCCGGACUGAGAGGUUGAACGGCCACAUUGGGACUGAGACACGGCCCAGACUCCUACGGGAGGCAGCAGUGAGGGAUAUUGGUCAAUGGGGGAAACCCUGAACCAGCAACGCCGCGUGAGGGAAGACGGUUUUCGGAUUGUAAACCUCUGUCCUCUGUGAAGAUAAUGACGGUAGCAGAGGAGGAAGCUCCGGCUAACUACGUGCCAGCAGCCGCGGUAAUACGUAGGGAGCAAGCGUUGUCCGGAUUUACUGGGUGUAAAGGGUGCGUAGGCGGCUUUGCAAGUCAGAAGUGAAAUCCAUGGGCUUAACCCAUGAACUGCUUUUGAAACUGCAGAGCUUGAGUGGAGUAGAGGUAGGCGGAAUUCCCGGUGUAGCGGUGAAAUGCGUAGAGAUCGGGAGGAACACCAGUGGCGAAGGCGGCCUGCUGGGCUCUAACUGACGCUGAGGCACGAAAGCGUGGGUAGCAAACAGGAUUAGAUACCCUGGUAGUCCACGCUGUAAACGAUGAUUACUGGGUGUGGGUGGACUGACCCCAUCCGUGCCGGA
rnacentral:rRNA from 1 species